rnacentral:rRNA from 1 species
AUCGAACGCUGGCGGCAUGCCUAACACAUGCAAGUCGAACGCCUGGCGGCCGGGUGACCAAUGUCUGGGACAUUGCCAGACGGAGGGGGAGAACUACUGGAAACGUUAGCUAAUAUCGCAUACCAUCGGAUGUUCUCAGAUGUGAUUAGCUAGUAGGUGGGGUAACGACUCACCUAGACGACGAUCCCUAGCUGUUCUGAGAGGCUGACCAGCCACACUGUAACUGAGACACGGUCCAGACUCCUACGGGAGGCAGCAGUGGGGAAUAUUGCACAAUGGGCGCAAGCCUGAUAGAGCCAUGCCGCGUGUAUGAAGAAGGCCUUCGGGUUGUAAAGUACUUUCAGCGAGGAGGCGUUACUCGCAGAAGAAGCACCGGCUAACUCCGUGCCAGCAGCCGCGGUAAUUC